rnacentral:rRNA from 1 species
UACGAAGGGGGCUAGCGUUGCUCGGAAUCACUGGGCGUAAAGCGCACGUAGGCGGACUCUUAAGUCGGGGGUGAAAUCCUGGAGCUCAACCCCAGAACUGCCUUCGAUACUGGGAAUCUUGAGUCCGGGAGAGGUGAGUGGAACUGCGGGUGUAGAGGUGAAAUUCGUAGAUAUUCGCAAGAACACCAGUGGCGAAGGCGGCUCACUGGGCCGGUACUGACGCUGAGGUGCGAAAGCGUGGGGAGCAAACAGG